CAUCGCCUCUUGUAACCAUAAGAGGUCCAGCCUGCCCAGUGAUUUUAUUUAACGGCCGCGGUAUUCUAACCGUGCGAAGGUAGCGCAAUCACUUGUUUUCUAAAUAAAGACCAGUAUGAAAGGCAUCACGAGAACUUAACUGUCUCCUUUCUCCAAUCAGUGAACCUAAUCUCCCCGUGAAGAAGCGGGGAUCCCCCUAUAAGACGAGAAGACCCUGUGGAGCUUAAAAUAUAAUAUCAACUACUGCCCCAAUUACCCUCCCCACUUCCCCAGCGGCACCCUGAUCACAUAUUUUUGGUUGGGGUGACCGCGGAGAAAAACUUACCCUCCGUGAUGAAAAAGAAUUCCCUUAAACAACAAGUUACAACUUUAUGU
rnacentral:rRNA from 1 species